ensembl:lncRNA
UUUAGAAAAGAGAGAAAGUUCAGAAAGUGGGGAAUGUGCAGAAGUUGAAAGGCAGGCAGAAAGUAUUACACCUAAGACCCGAAAAGAAGAAAUUGUAGAUGACAUUGUCAAUAUUAUACUUGACAAUCUCCAGUGUUCUGACACUGAUUAUUCUUGCCACAGUGAGAAAUGUACCUCACCCCAAUCUAGAGCCAAUGUGGGAAUCAUCUUUGAUAAAGUGAGAGAGUUUUUUACCUCACGUGCUCCUUCCGCACCGCAAAAAUCCCGCAAACUGCAUUUUUCCAAGUUUGCAGGAAAACAUUUUCAAAAGAUGAAGGGGGAGCUGAAAACAACAGUGAAGAAGAGCAAAAAUUAUUUUAUUAGUCUGUCAAAGGUAACCCACUCCCCUGAAACUGAGAGAACGGGUUCCCACGACAGGAUGAGUGUCAACCUCCCAGGUUCAGCAUGUGAAACUCCUCGUUCAAAUUCUAGCAUAUCUGUCCGUGCCCCUUCUAGAAGCUCAUCUACUCUGGAAAGCAUGAUAAAAUCUUCUACUCCGACUAGCUUUAAUGUCAUCAAAUCUAACAUUAGUGACAUAUACAGCGAGUUCACAAAAGAGAAAGAACAUGACAUUAUCCAAGAAAGGCUCGAAAACAUUAAAAUAAGUGAGAAAGUGAAAAAUUUCUCAAGAGAAUUGACAGAGAAAAUGUACGACCAUUUAAUGAAAAGUCGUAUAUACCAAAUUCCCACAACUUUUAUGGGUAGAAGUCUAUCCGACUCUGUCAUCUCCAGGACACCACAGCCAGUAGCUGAAUCGAGAGUUUAUUUUUCUCCUGAAGUCCUCUAUGUAAUCAUAGAAGAUGCAAUUGGAAAGUUUUUGCAGAAGAUUCUGCUUUUGGUUGAUGAUGAAACAAUAGAUGAAAUUGUUCAGAGCGAAAAAGUGUCUGAUGCUGUCCAAUAUAUCCAAAAGGUCAAUGCAAAAGGACAGACACGGGCAAAAGACACAGAAUCAGACUAUUUUCAAAAAAGUGGCAGAGAAUCUACAAAACCCUGUCCUUCUAGACCAGCGUCUCUGGAAAAGCAGGUCAAGUCACCAGAGAAAAGCUCAACAUCCUCUCGUUCAAGUUCAACACCAGUUCUCAAGAGGAUGGAGGAGGAAAUGUCUGGAAAGUCAGAGGACAGAUUCUCCAAAAAGCUUGAGGACAUACCCUCGG